GACGAACGCUGGCGGCGUGCUUAACACAUGCAAGUCGAACGAAGAGCGAUGGAAGCUUGCUUCUUUCAAUUUUCGUGGCGCACGGGUGUGUAACGCGUAAUCAACCUGCCCUUCAGUGGGGGACAACAGUUGGAAAGGACUGCUAAUACCGCAUACGAUCUAAUCUCGGCAUCGAGGAUAGAAGAACGGUGGUCCCUACAUGUAAGCUAUCACUGAAGGAGGGGAUUGCGUCUGAUUAGGUAGCUGGGGGGGUAACGGCCCAACAAGGGGAUGAUCAGGAGGCCGUCUUGGAGGGGGAACCGGCACAUCGGGACUGAGACACGGCCCCGACUCCUACGGGGGGCAGCAGUGGGGAAUCUUCCGCAAUUGACGAAAGUCUGACGGGGCAACGCCGCGUGGGUGAUGACAGCCUUCGGGUUGUAAAGCUCUGUUUAUCGGGACGAAAGGCCUUCUUGCGAAAAGUGAGAAGGAUUGACGGUACCGGAAUAGAAAGCCACGGCUAACUACGUG
rnacentral:rRNA from 1 species